rnacentral:rRNA from 1 species
CACGUAGGGCGCAAGCGUUGUCCGGAAUUAUUGGGCGUAAAGAGCUCGUAGGCGGUCUGUUACGUCUGCUGUGAAAACCCUGGGCUUAACCCUGGGCUUGCAGUGGAUACGGGCAGACUAGAGGCAGGUAGGGGAGAAUGGAGUUCCCGGUGUAGCGGUGAAAUGCGCAGAUAUCGGGAGGAACACCGGUGGCGAAGGCGGUUCUCUGGGCCUGACCUGACGCUGAGGAGCGAAAGCGUGGGGAGCGAACAGG